CCCUUAGAUGUUCGGGGCCGCACGCGCGCUACACUGAAGGAAUCAGCACGUCUUUCUCCUUGUCCGAAAGGACUGGGUAACCCGCUGAACCUUCUUCGUGCUAGGGAUUGGGGCUUGUAAUUCUUCCCCAUGAACGAGGAAUUCCCAGUAAGCGCGAGUCAUAAGCUCGCGUUGAUUACGUCCCUGCCCUUUGUACACACCGCCCGUCGCUACUACCGAUUGGAUGGUUUAGUGAGAUCCUCGGAUUGGUCCCGGCGCGGCCUCUGGUCGUGCCGGAGUGCCGAAAAGAAUGUCGAACUUGAUCAUCUAGAGGAAGUAAAAGUCGUAACA
rnacentral:rRNA from 1 species